CCGAACGCACCACGUGACCCUGCAGCUCCGAGGGCCCACGUGACAGUGACGCAGGAGAAUAGGUGAUGUGGUCAGUUACGAGAUUUGGCAUACUCAGUGCUUCCCUGUGCAAUUUCCUGUCAACAUUUAAAAAGAGAGAAAGUAUAAAAGAAGAAGAAGAAAUAAAAAAGCCCCCAGCCACUGCCUUUCUCUUCUUGAACUUGAUUUUUGGUUCAGUGUCAAUCAGCAUAUUAUCCCCUGGCACGCUGUGUAUCGAAAUAUGUAUCAUUGCUGCCAUGGAUACUCAGUAACUCCAGUCAAACGGGAGGUGUCUGUGAGUUCUACAUAAUCCUUGGCCCACAAGAAUUUGGAGUCGGGGGUUAUGUCACAGCAUUCAAAGUUCA